GACGAACGCUGGCGGCGUGCCUAAUACAUGCAAGUCGAACGCAGUGGGGACGGGUGAGUAACCCGUGGGUAACCUCCCAUCAGAGGGUAUAACACUUGGAAACAGGUGCUAAACCGAUACUGAUUGUGGGAUCCGCGGUGCAUUAGCUUGGUGGUGAGGGAACGGCCAACCAAGGCCACGAUGCAUAGCCGACCUGAGAGGGUGAUCGGCCACACUGGGACUGGGACACGUCCCAGACGCCUACGGGAGGCAGCAGUAGGGAAUCGUCGGCAAUGGACGAAAGUCUGACCGAGCAACGCCGCGUAAGUGAAGAAGGUUUUCGGAUCGUAAAACUCUGUUGUUAGAGAAGCGGUAUCUAACCAGAAAGCCACGGCUAACUACGUGCCAGCAGCCGCGGUAAUAC
rnacentral:rRNA from 1 species